rnacentral:rRNA from 1 species
AUGAGCAUCAUCAUAUGGCUGCUCUUUCGGCGGCGGAAGAACACACAAGUGGUGAAAGAAGUUGUGGCUGAUUGGAAAAUGACACCAUUCACACCUCUGGACAUCACAAAAUCCGACGUGCUCAACAACAUAUCUGAGGAGAACAUUAUUGUCAGCGGUGGGUCUGAAAAGAAUAGUGGCUGCCAAGAAGAUAUGCAACACGGGAAAUCCGGACCACAAACUGUUCAACUCGGAGGUGAAGAGAUUCGGGAGCAUCAAUCACAACAUCAUCAAGCUGCUCUGCAGCAUCUCCGGCUAAGAUGCCAAGCUGCUUGUUUACGAGCACUUGGAGAAGGGCAGCCUCGACGACUGGCUGCACCACCGUUACCACGAGGGCGCCCCUGCACCAUUGUACUAGCGGAGGAGGCUGACCAUCGCUUUGAUGCAACGAGGGGCCUCAACCACAUCCACCAAGAGUGUGGACAGGAUAUUAUACAAAGGGACAUCAAGUCAGACAACAUUUUGCUUGAACCAGAGUUCCACGCCAAGAUCGCCAACUUUGGGCUUACUCUCGAAAGGGUGUCAACCCAGGCCAGUCCCACCACAUGUCAGCCAUUUGUGGUACACACGGAAUACUUUCAGUACAAUGGAAAGGCGAGCGAGAAGACUGACAUCUAUAGUUUUGGUGUCGUUCUGCUAGAGGUGACAACCGGCAUGGUUGUCAAGGGCAUUGGAGGUGGAGAAAGCUUGGGUGAAUGGGCAUGGAAGGUGUAUCCUACAGGAGUCCUCAGGCGCAUCUGCGCAGAGCACGAAGCACGUCUUUACCCAGCUCAUGCUCAUCCAGUGUGA